GAUGAACGCUGGCGGCGUGCUUAACACAUGCAAGUCGAACGAAGCUGCCCAAAGGAAGUUUUCGGAUGGAAUUUAGGUAGACUUAGUGGCGGACGGGUGAGUAACGCGUGGAUAACCUGCCUUAUACAGGGGGAUAACGGAGAGAAAUUUCCGCUAAGACCGCAUAAGACCACAGCACCGCAUGGUGCAGGGGUAAAAUAUUUAUAGGUAUAAGAUGGAUCCGCGUCCGAUUAGCUUGUUGGUGAGGUAGAGGCUCACCAAGGCGACGAUCGGUAGCCGGCCUGAGAGGGUGAACGGCCACAUUGGGACUGAGACACGGCCCAAACUCCUACGGGAGGCAGCAGUGGGGAAUAUUGGACAAUGGGAGGAACCCUGAUCCAGCGACGCCGCGUGAGUGAAGAAGUAUUUCGGUAUGUAAAGCUCUAUCAGCAGGGAAGAAAAUGACGUACCUGA
rnacentral:rRNA from 1 species